rnacentral:rRNA from 1 species
UACGUAGGGGGCUAGCGUUGUCCGGAUUUAUUGGGCGUAAAGAGCGUGUAGGCGGCCAGGUAGGUCUGGUGUGAAAACUCGAGGCUUAACCUCGAGAUGUCAUCGGAAACCAUCUGGCUAGAGUCCGGAAGAGGAGAGUGGAAUUCCCGGUGUAGCGGUGAAAUGCGCAGAUAUCGGGAGGAACACCAAUGGCGAAGGCAGCUCGCUGGGACGUUACUGACGCUGAGGAGCGAAAGCGUGGGGAGCGAACAGG